CAUAGAACAAUUGAACUGCACCCAGCAGCCUCAGAGAGAGAGAGGAAUAAAUUGACUGAAGUGAAACAGAAUCCAACUAUUGAAAAUAUAAUGUUGGAGAUGGAAUGAACAAUGAAGAGGAAAGUCCGAGAAGCAAGACUCAGUCAAGUGGCAGGUGGAAUGGCAAAAAAAGAAUUUGAAUAUGGAAUAGUAUAAGGUUCAAGGCUCUCUUAACAUCAUGGACAAAGAAAAGACAAAUUCCUCUCCAAAGUAUUCAUCACCCGGACUUAGAGUGAUAUCGCCAUUUCUUCACCAUCCCUCCCUAAUAGCACCAUGAGUGUACAUAUGCCAAAUAUACAGCAGCAGUUCAAAAAGGCAGUUCACGGCCAACUUCACAAGAACAGUUAGGGAAAAGCCAAGCCCACAUUCCCUCAAAAAACAAAGAAAAAAAGGCAUGUAUUGUGCAUUUUCUCAAUCACUUCCUCAAUAAUGGGGGUGCCUAGUACACCAGUGCAAAAAAUAAAGCUAAAGAACAUGCAGGAAGUGAACGGACUCAUAGCAAAUUUGUGGAUGACACAAACGUAAGUGGGAGUGAAUAUGCUGAUGAUGAUACACAGUCUUCAAAGGGAAGUAAACAGAUUAAGCAACAUAAUUUGGGGAAAACUGCAAUGUUACACACUUUGGCAAGAGGAAUAGUGGAGCAGAAGGCUACUUAAUAAGAUAAAGGCUCAAGGUAUUAAACAUAGCGCAUUAGCAUGGAUAGGAGAUUGGCUAAUGGAGAAAAGAAAGGCAGUUGAGAUAAAGGGGGCAUUUUCAGGAUGUCAACUUGUAAAUCCUGAAGUGUCAAAAGUGUGGU